UGGGGAAUAUUGCACAAUGGGCGAAAGCCUGAUGCAGCAACGCCGCGUGAGUGAUGAAGGCCUUCGGGUUGUAAAGCUCUGUCUUCUGGGACGAUAAUGACGGUCCCAGAGGAGGAAGCCACGGCUAACUACGUGCCAGCAGCCGCGGUCAUACGUAGGUGGCAAGCGUUGUCCGGAUUUACUGGGCGUAAAGGAUGCGUAGGCGGAUACUUAAGUCAGAUGUGAAAAUCCCGGGCUUAACUUGGGAACUGCAUUUGAAACUGGGUAUCUAGAGUGCGGGAGAGGAAAGUGGAAUUCCUAGUGUAGCGGUGAAAUGCGUAGAGAUUAGGAAGAACACCAGUGGCGAAGGCGACUUUCUGGACCGUAACUGACGCUGAGGCAUGAAAGCGUGGGGAGCAAACA
rnacentral:rRNA from 1 species